rnacentral:rRNA from 1 species
AGAACGAACGCUGGCGGCAUGCCUAACACAUGCAAGUCGAACGAGACCUUCGGGUCUAGUGGCGCACGGGUGCGUAACGCGUGGGAAUCUGCCCAAAGGUUCGGAAUAACUCAGGGAAACUUGAGCUAAUACCGGAUGAUGUCGCAAGACCAAAGAUUUAUCGCCUUUGGAUGAGCCCGCGUAGGAUUAGCUUGUUGGUGAGGUAAAGGCUCACCAAGGCGACGAUCCUUAGCUGGUCUGAGAGGAUGAUCAGCCACACUGGGACUGAGACACGGCCCAGACUCCUACGGGAGGCAGCAGUGGGGAAUAUUGGACAAUGGGCGAAAGCCUGAUCCAGCAAUGCCGCGUGAGUGAUGAAGGCCCUAGGGUUGUAAAGCUCUUUUACCUGGGAAGAUAAUGACUGUACCGGGAGAAUAAGCCCCGGCUAACUCCGCGCCAGCAGCCGC